rnacentral:rRNA from 1 species
ACGGGAGGCAGCAGUGGGGGAUAUUGCGCAAUGGGGGAAACCCUGACGCAGCAACGCCGCGUGAAGGAAGAAGGUCUUCGGAUUGUAAACUUUUGUCUUUUGGGACGAUAGUGACGGUACCAAAGGAGGGAGCCACGGCUAACUACGUGCCAGCAGCCGCGGUAAUACGUAGGUGGCGAGCGUUGUCCGGAAUUACUGGGUGUAAAGGGCGUGUAGGCGGGUAAUCAAGUCAGAUGUGAAAUACCGGGGCUCAACUCCGGGGCUGCAUUUGAAACUGAAUAUCUUGAGUGCAGGAGAGGAAAGCGGAAUUCCUAGUGUAGCGGUGAAAUGCGUAGAUAUUAGGAGGAACACCGGUGGCGAAGGCGGCUUUCUGGACUGUAACUGACGCUGAGGCGCGAAAGCGUGGGGAGCAAACAGGAUUAGAUACCCUGGUA